UACACAUGCAGUCGAACGGUGAAGUCCCAGCUUGCUGGGAUGGAUCAGUGGCGAACGGGUGAGUAACACGUGAGCAACCUGCCCUCCACUUCGGGAUAAGCCUUGGAAACGGGGUCUAAUACCGGAUAUGAGCUCGCAUCGCAUGGUGUGGGUUGGAAAGUUUUUCGGUGGGGGAUGGGCUCGCGGCCUAUCAGCUUGUUGGUGGGGUGAUGGCCUACCAAGGCGUCGACGGGUAGCCGGCCUGAGAGGGCGACCGGCCACACUGGGACUGAGACACGGCCCAGACUCCUACGGGAGGCAGCAGUGGGGAAUAUUGCACAAUGGGCGCAAGCCUGAUGCAGCGACGCCGCGUGAGGGAUGACGGCCUUCGGGUUGUAAACCUCUUUCAGCAGGGAAGAAGCGCAAGUGACGGUACCUGCAGAAGAAGCGCCGGCUAACUACGUGCCAGCAGCCGCGGUAAUACGUAGGGCGCAAGCGUUGUCCGGAAUUAUUGGGCGUAAAGAGCUCGUAGGCGGUCUGUCGCGUCUGGUGUGAAAUCCCGAGGCUCAACCUCGGGCUUGCAUCGGGUACGGGCAGACUAGAGUGCGGUAGGGGAGACUGGAAUUCCUGGUGUAGCGGUGGAAUGCGCAGAUAUCAGGAGGAACACCGAUGGCGAAGGCAGGUCUCUGGGCCGCAACUGACGCUGAGGAGCGAAAGCAUGGGGAGCGAACAGGAUUAGAUACCCUGGUAGUCCAUGCCGUAAACGUUGGGCACUAGGUGUGGGGCUCAUUCCACGAGUUCCGUGCCGCAGCUAACGCAUUAAGUGCCCCGCCUGGGGAGUACGGCCGCAAGGCUAAAACUCAAAGGAAUUGACGGGGGCCCGCACAAGCGGCGGAGCAUGCGGAUUAAUUCGAUGCAACGCGAAGAACCUUACCAAGGCUUGACAUGUACGAGAACACGCUAGAGAUAGCGGACUCUUUGGACACUCGUACACAGGUGGUGCAUGGUUGUCGUCAGCUCGUGUCGUGAGAUGUUGGGUUAAGUCCCGCAACGAGCGCAACCCUCGUCCUAUGUUGCCAGCGGGUUAUGCCGGGGACUCAUGGGAGACUGCCGGGGUCAACUCGGAGGAAGGUGGGGAUGACGUCAAAUCAUCAUGCCCCUUAUGUCUUGGGCUUCACGCAUGCUACAAUGGCCGGUACAGAGGGCUGCGAUACCGUAAGGUGGAGCGAAUCCCAAAAAGCCGGUCUCAGUUCGGAUUGGGGUCUGCAACUCGACCCCAUGAAGUCGGAGUCGCUAGUAAUCGCAGAUCAGCAACGCUGCGGUGAAUACGUUCCCGGGUCUUUAACACACCGAAAAAAUGAAUACCAAGAAUACUAGCCUAGUUAUGUCCCGCACCUUUACU
rnacentral:rRNA from 1 species